UACGAGGGGGGCAAGCGUUGUUCGGAUUUAUUGGGCGUAAAGGGUGCGUAGGCGGUUUGGCAAGUCUUGUGUGAAAUCUUCGGGCUCAACCCGAAGCCUGCAUAAGAAACUGCCGGGCUUGAGUAUGGGAGAGGUGAGUGGAAUUUCCGGUGUAGCGGUGAAAUGCGUAGAUAUCGGAAGGAACACCUGUGGCGAAAGCGGCUCACUGGACCAUAACUGACGCUGAUGCACGAAAGUCGUAGGGAGCAAACAG
rnacentral:rRNA from 1 species